rnacentral:lncRNA from 1 species
CUGGGAAGUGCUGACGUGUGCGCGUGUGCGGUGUGUUGCUUGUGGGUGCGUGUGUGGUGUGUGCAUGUGUGUGCGCGCGCGUGUGUGCGGGGUGUGCCGUGAGCGUGUGCCCGCGGUUCGGGGGAUGAGUAGGGGCGCUGACUUUUAGGACCAGCCAUUUGAGCCAAGCUGGAGGCGACGUCUUAGAACCUAGGAUGAGUCUCGUUUGGUUUUAGUCUGCAAAGCUCGUCUGCAUCAGACAGGAAUUUUCCCCAGACGCGGGUGCACGUGAAUUAAUUCAUCAGAAGGCGGUUCACGGCCUGAGUGAGGGGGACGAGGGCGGCGAAUUCCUCCGCCUCAUUCCUACCCUGACGAUUCGAGCCUUAGCAAGUUCUGGCCUGUGGAGCCGUCACCCAGAGCGCACAGCUUCAUGCCCUUGAAGGGCGCAGUGUGUCCCGUGGUGCCCGGUGGGCCCGGACAGAGACCCCAGAGGCUCUGUCUGAAGGAAGCUGCACCCACAGACUCCAUCCAGGCAGCGCGGGCGCGGGCCCGUCGCCCACCUUUCUCGGAAGCCAUCUGCCCAUGUGAAUCUAUGUGAAGGCCCUUCAUGCGCUCCUGGACAUCUGCGUGGGAUUUACUUCAACUGCUAUCGCUGCGAGGAGGACGAGCAUGUUUCACUGUAUUUUUAGCAGAGAGUGCAGAUUUUAGAACCUCGCGAACGGUCCUGUAUCUCCUGCACGAUGACUCUCCAGAACAGGAAUAGUGACCCUUCCUUUGCAUUUAUGGUGCAUAGGUUUUCAAAGGACAGUGUGUAAAUCAGCUUGUGUAAUAAUUGUGGCACCCACGCGCGCAAGCAGACUUACCAUGAGCUGACUUCCACUGAUUAUUUCAGUUUCCAGGGAAACGAGGUUUGCAGCCCCCUCCAGUGAGGGCGGAGCGGCCUCUCCAUUCCCAAUGCAGCAAGGCUGCUGCAGCCACGAUGAUUAGGCUUUGGAGGAGGAAGUGAACGGAUGGGGCCUCAUCCUCCUCCCUCCCUAAAGGGUGAGGGUGGAAGGAUGGGGCUGUGCCCUCUUAGGGCAGGGAAAAACAGCUUGGAGGGGUUUCUGCCAUCAGAGAUCCCAUAGGAGGCAGGUCAGUCCUGCAGAAUUUCUCCCCAGUCUGGCCUCCAGCCUCCCUGGCCCCUUUCUAGAGGCCUCCAUCCCACUGGCGGCUUGCUCCUGCCACCGGGCCUUUGCACAGUCACCUCUUGCAGCCUGGGGUGUGUCGCCUCUCCACGUCCUCACCGGCGUCUGCCUUUGCAUUUCCCAGAUGCUCGCUUCACCCCACUGAGGAGUAACUCAGUUUUGUGGGAUCCCACUGCCCUCCAGGUGCCGCUCCGAGUGCUCUACACAGAUUUUCAUUCAGUCCUUGCGGCACACGAAGGUAGGCGGCCCCACUGCCCUCACAGAGGCUUCCCAUGCAGGAGCCAGUGACUGGCGGAGCGCCGCUCACACUCAGGCUCCGCGAACUGCCUCCCUGCCCUCCCCUGCCCCGGACAGACGGUCCUCCAUAAGAGGCAGGAUUUCCCUGUGGUCCAAAGGUGUGUGUCCCUGCCACAUUGGGAGUUCAGCUCACUGCGGUCCUGUCCAGCUUGCCCCCGUCUCCCAUCCCCAUCAGGAUCUGGCUUUGCCCCAGCUAUGUGGAAUGAGUGCAUGAACAAAUGAAUGGGUGGGUUGCUCCAUCUUGUGACAGGACAGCAAAGUCAGCUGGUUCUGCUCCUACGGCGCUCAGGGUCAGGUGAGGCAGGCCGGCCCGCAGGCAGACAGGCCCUCAUCUCUGUAUUGGGGGUGGGGAAGGGGCUCUGGCAGGGCGCAUGCCCCAGCAGCAGGAACGUCAAGAGCAGAGGCCCUGGAGGAGACAGCCCGGAGCUGGCGCACAGUAAAGUCUUCAGAUAGGAGGGGCAGAGUGAGGGUGCCACUGUCGGGCAGCAGGUGCCCACCCAGAAGGGUCUUUGAGCCUUGCGGGGAAGUUCAGACUUUACCCUGAGGAUAAGGGAGGUCCUGGACCCGCAGGAGGGUGCCCUGGUGUGUCUAGAAGGAGCCCUGCCACUGGGGAGCUGGUGGGGCUUCCGCCCUCACGGUGCAAUCACAGGGUUGCCUGCUUAUCUCCCCCGCCCUUUUCCCAUCACUUCCUGAGACUCUGCAGAUGGUCAGCAGUGUUCCUGAGUGGAUGACAUUGGGUUGGCGGAGAGAGGGGAGGGCAGUCUGUGGUCCCAGUCAUGUAGAGCUUCCUUGUACAGUCUGUGGUCCCAGUCAUGUAGAGCUUCCUUGUACAGUCUGUGGUCCCAGUCAUGUAGAGCUUCCUUGUACAGUCUGUUGAGCUCACAUACCCUCAAUGGCCCUUCACUCACAGGGAUGGCCUCUGCACUUGAGCUGGUUUCUGACACCUAAAAACAGAAGUGGAAAAGGGAGCAGACGCAGCCACAUUUUGAAAGCUGAUUCGGUUGCUUUCUGGCAGAAUCCCUGCCCCCAAGCACCUGCCAGGCCCACCCAUGAAGCCUCUUCCCACGCCUUAACUCCGCCCCAUGAGGGGACCUCAAGCAGCUGCAGUCUAGUCAGCAACCCAACAGGAGCCACUCAAGACCCAUGAGCCAGAUGGACGACCAUCGUUAUUCUGGGGCAGGCAGCAGCUUCCAAGAAGAUGGCCUUGCAAUUCCAGGUCACGACUGCGUGCUGCCUUCGGAGGAACGACUCACCACAAAUCCAGAUUCUGCUGUGCGUGGCCGUCAAAUGUGAGGCCAUCUGGGGACGUGUCACGGGGACUGGGGUGGACAUAAGUCACCUUUCUAGCUACCUGUUGGAUAACCUUUCUAUAUUUGAUGAAAAGUAGUACCUGACUUCCGGACCUGGAGUUUGAAGCUCAGUUUCCAGCUGCCCUGAAACAUGCUUGGGAGACUGACUUGGAAGACAGAACGGCAAGGAAGCGGCGUCUCAGCGUCACUUCCCGCGGGGAGGGGCAGCGUUUGGCGUCCUCUGAGGCUGACUUCUCAGCAGAGGAUCCCUGUGCCUGAGGCCGCGGUGCCCAGAGGUGCCAGGCGGGGCGGGGGAUAUGGUAACUGGGAAACAUAGCCCCGAGCCCAGUUACUGCCCCUCUUAGCUAGGUAGCGAGGAUUCAGUAGUUUGCAGGACUAUGCCUGACACUGUGCCCGGGCGUGGUCUGGGCAGUCUCUUCACAUCAUCCGCUAAGGCAUCUGGGCUUUUUCCUGUCUGUCAGCGGAUGACUCCUUCCUCCGUCGUCCCUCCACGCGUGCGGCCAUCUUUUCAGCAAAGGCAUCUGGGCUUUUUCCCGUCGGUCAGCGGGUGAGUCCUUCCUCCGUCGUCCCUCCACGCGUGCGGCCAUCUUUUCAGCAAAGGCAUCUGGGCUUUUUCCCGUCGGUCAGCGGGUGACUCCUUCCUCCGUCGUCCCUCCACGCGUGCGGCCAUCUUUUCAGCAAAGGCAUCUGGGCUUUUUCCUGUCGGUCAGCGGAUGACUCCUUCCUCCGUCGUCCCUCCACGCGUGCGGCCAUCUUUUCAGCAAAGGCAUCUGGGCUUUUUCCUGUCGGUCAGCGGGUGACUCCUUCCUCCGUCGUCCCUCCACGCGUGCGGCCAUCUUUUCAGCAAAGGCAUCUGGGCUUUUUCCUGUCGGUCAGCGGGUGACUCCUUCCUCCGUCGUCCCUCCACGCGUGCGGCCAUCUUUUCAGCAAAGGCAUCUGGGCUUUUUCCCGUCGGUCAGCGGGUGACUCCUUCCUCCGUCGUCCCUCCAUGCGUGCGGCCAUCUUUUCAGGAAAGGCAUCUGGGCUUUUUCCUGUUGGUCAGCGGGUGACUCCUUCCUUCGUCGUCCCACCAUGCGUGCGGCCAUCUUUUGUUGCGUGCCUACUCUGUCGAUGUCAGGCUGGGGACACACAGGACCGACCGAGCAUGGACAAGUCCCAGGUGGCCUUGGAAUGAACAAGCCCCUCCCUUCUCACGCGUACUUCUCGAGAAUACCUGAAGAAUGUGCCAGGAAUGCAACCACCUGGUCUAGAAAAGGACCGGCCGGACAGCCCUGGCUCUGCUCCUGUGCCUCCUAGGGCAGGAUGUCCCGCACACUGUAGCCCUGGGAGUCACCCCUGGCUGUGGAACCCAGAGCAGAGUGCACCUUUGGGAUCCCUCAGCUGUGGUGUGAAGUGGGACACACAUAGACAAGGCUCCAUUCGUUCUGGGCAGCUUUCCCAAGCCUCGGGGACCCGCUCACCAUGGAUCCUAAGCUUCUGCUGUUCCCUGCUGCCUGCCUGUGAGUAAUAAAGUUGUGUGUGUGUUCUGUC